rnacentral:lncRNA from 1 species
GCGAGGGUCCCGUCUCCUGUAUAGCUGUAUUUGUAGUUAAGGUCUUGAUAAAUCUGAUUUGGGUUGAGCUUUCCCUGGCGUCUCUCCUUCCAGAUCUGGCCGUGCAGACCGUCGGAGAGGGAGACAUGGCGGCGGUUGCUUCCUUGUCCAAGUUCCUCACUCUCCUGUCUUUCUACUCCCCAUGAGAACUAUCACCCCAAAACUGAGAUGAGCCCAUCCCCCGCACGAUCGGGCGCGAUCCUUCGUUUCCUCUAUGCCGCAUCAUCCUACGGGGAAAGAUGGCCGUGUUCGUCCAGGCCAGCGCUCCCGGCCACCCGGCAGGAGGUCUAGGUUGCCUUUGCCGAUGCAUCAACCUGCGGGCGCUCCGCUGGCGCGGCGUGCCCAAUGCAGGUGUACGCCGGGUAUUCCCGUGUUUAUCCGAUGGCAGCGCAAUCACCGGCACAGCGUGUCGCAUUGUCUUCCUCAACGAUUGCCACGGCGCUGCUGUCGUAUUCGACCUCCUCACUUCGCCGCUGUGAUUCUAUCCGCUGGGAGGUACGUGCACAUUUAUUUCAUCCCCAAUUUUGCAUGCGUAUGAGAUUUGCUUAUUUGAUGAACUUCGGUCCUGCAGUAGUUUAAUCAGCUCAUCUUAGAGAUAUAGGCUAAUCCCUAGCUUAACAAUUUAUAAUUUAUCAGGCCAAUUACCUGAUGGGAGACAACCAGACGGGGAGAACGAUUGCUUGAAGAGCCUUAGGCAGUCUGCUCUCACAAGGAAAUGCAAAGGUAAUUUCACAAGAGAAGUGGUGAUGGCGAGGCUCUGCCACGGCAACCUUGUUCGCCUCCUUGCGUACUACAAUGAAGGAGACAAGUGGAUAUCCACUCAUCUAUGGCUACAUGUUGAACAACAUCAUGGAUCUCUACAUAUUUGGUACAUAUACUUGUAUAUUUUUUUCCUUGCCUAUGAUCAGAAUUUGGAUCACAGUAGACAAUCAGGUUCUCUUCUAUGAUUGUUGGUUAUUGUUUUCAUGUAGUCCAAUACAUAAGUACAGCUCAUAGCUGCAUGGUUAGAAUUCAGAGAAAAUGUACAUAAAGUUCCAGAUAAUAGAAUUGCAAACUUGGACAAUACCUUUAGAGGAAAUUUGUAUGCUGGACAUGCUUGACCAUGUCAAAGAUCAUGCAUGGGUAGUUAUAUCCUCGGGUUAUUCGUAUUAUCUGCAAAGUGAGCUUCAAAAUUUUGUAAACUAGCAUUUUCAAUAGUUCAGAGCUACUACUUCACUGUCAGUAUUUAGGUGGAUGGUCUCUGUUUUAAAUUCAUGAUACAAGUAAUGCACUUCGUCAAGUUUUAUUUAUCUGUGUCCUUGGUUCCAAUAGCUAUAUAAUUUCUUCGCAAGCACCCAAGUACGGCAACUCUAUUGCCGUUCAUGCUUGGCCUAUGCCCUACAGAGAGGAAUUAGUAUUUGCCUCUUUGUGUCAGAAUGUAGUUGUGUCGCAUGCCUCUUGUAUCAUUUUCAUUGUUGAUAGAUGCAUUACCAAAAUAUCAUUGCAAAAUUUCGUGGUUGCAGUAUUUGUCUUGUUAAUUUUGCAUUCCUCCCUUUUCUCAUAAAGUGUUAAUUCUGUGUUAGUUAUAUCUUAUGUUUUCUAUGUUCAUUGCUUCUGUUGACUUCAGAUUGUGCAUAUGUGGAGAAGCAUGUAUGAUUGCCCUCAGGUUUAGAACAUAUUGCAUAACAAGCCAUUCUCCUUGGCAACCGACCUAGAAGUGAGGUCACAAUUGACACCCCUUGUCGUCCAACUUCCGGCACUUGAAGUCUCUGUGCGACAAAAUUAUGCUUGCCAUCUGAUCACCUUGCCGCAUGGUAUGUUCAUGGGACAGAGAAUAUGAGAUGCAGCUCCCCAAUGUUUUCACUUCCCCACUCAAAAUUUUCAGGCCACAACCUGAAUAUUUGUUUCCUUGUUGUCUGUCAUCAGCAUUUUUCUUUGCAGAAACCUGGUUAAGGAAGUUACCAGUAGUCUAGUACUAAUAUUUUCGUAUGUAUGUACUUGUGCACUCACCCCUUUUAUAUACAUAUAUGGUUCAAAAAGCAUCUUUUACUUUAUUUUUUGUUUAUUUGCUCAGUACAAAAUGUAGUGCAGUCUAUGAUUUUUUUUCCUUGGUCUAAAUAUAACACAGACCCUCUACAGGCUCCUUAUUUUUUUUCCUUUGUCUAAAUAUACUACAGACCGUUUAUAUAUAUGCAGUACUGAUUGCCUAAUGUCCUUCUAGGUGAGAAGAUAGAUUAAGUUGGAGUUCGAGAGCUAAUAUUGUUGGCACAAAUGUUUUGAGCAAACAACUAAAAGAAGGGUAUACUAUGCUUUGCAGAUGGAAAAUGAUUCCACGGCCUCAUAUAUGCCUAUGGUAUAUGUAACUAAGCAUGAAUCAAUUUUUUUUCUCUUCAUGGUGCUAUUGCAUGCAGCAUGCUUGUGCAUAUUUAUCAAAGUAUUCAGUUGAACACUUCUACUUCAUUCUUGUUUGUUCUUGAAAGUGUGCUCAAGCAACCGUAAGUAUGUUAUUUGGAUAUAUUAAUUGUGUGGGCUGGAGGUGGAGCCUGUGUUAACCAAAAGCAGAUUAGUAUUGUAACACUUCCCAAAUGUGUGUGGAUGGAUUUUCUAUUUGUCACAUGCUCUGUCCCCUCAAUUUGGAGAGUAAUGAGAAAGCUGGGUGGAGAGAACAACAAAUCUUCGCCAAGGUAAAAAUGGAGAAGAAAAUAUUUGGCUUGGACAAGGGGUCAUCGAUCAGAAACCAUAAGUUUGAUUUUUGCUCAAUGCGUACACAUCAACAAUAUAGCAUAACUGUGAUCAAUGUUAUGAUACAUCUUUUUUGUCCACUAUGCUCCUAAGUAAACAAUGUCUACUUGAUUAUUUGUGAUUCCGUAGCGUAGCACGGGCAUCUUACUAGUGAUUUUUAAAUUAGGGACUAAUUAGGAAUUACACUGCACACGGUUUGCGAAAGCGAAACGUCUGCGAUAGAUGUGGAGAUCAGAAACGUUUCUAGGAUCCACUACGUGUGCGAUCAAUCUCCACUGUACACACGACAUCCUCUUGAAAACUGUUUGUGUUAGGCCACCUUGCGCAAAUGUUUACCAUAU